rnacentral:rRNA from 1 species
AGAGUUUGAUCCUGGCUCAGGACGAACGCUGGCGGCGUGCCUAACACAUGCAAGUCGAGCGAUGAAGUUUCCUUCGGGAAACGGAUUAGCGGCGGACGGGUGAGUAACACGUGGGUAACCUGCCUUAUAGUGGGGGAUAGCCUUUCGAAAGGAAGAUUAAUACCGCAUAAGAUUGUAGUAUCGCAUGAUAUAGCAAUUAAAGGAGCAAUUCGCUAUAAGAUGGACCCGCGUCGCAUUAGCUAGUUGGUGAGGUAAUGGCUCACCAAGGCGACGAUGCGUAGCCGACCUGAGAGGGUGAUCGGCCACAUUGGGACUGAGACACGGCCCAGACUCCUACGGGAGGCAGCAGUGGGGAAUAUUGCACAAUGGGCGAAAGCCUGAUGCAGCAACGCCGCGUGAGUGAUGAAGGUUUUCGGAUCGUAAAGCUCUGUCUUUGGGGAAGAUAAUGACGGUACCCAAGGAGGAAGCCACGGCUAACUACGUGCCAGCAGCCGCGGUAAUACGUAGGUGGCAAGCGUUGUCCGGAUUUACUGGGCGUAAAGGGAGCGUAGGCGGAUGUUUAAGUGGGAUGUG